rnacentral:rRNA from 1 species
UACAGAGGUGCCAAGCGUUGUUCGGAUUUAUUGGGCGUAAAGGGUGCGUAGGCGGGCCUUUAAGUCAGGGGUGAAAUCCUGGAGCUCAACUCCAGAACUGCCUUUGAUACUGAAGAUCUUGAGUUCGGGAGAGGUGAGUGGAACUGCGAGUGUAGAGGUGAAAUUCGUAGAUAUUCGCAAGAACACCAGUGGCGAAGGCGGCUCACUGGCCCGAUACUGACGCCGAGGCACGAAAGCGUGGGGAGCAAACAGG